rnacentral:rRNA from 1 species
CUAAGGCUCCAGAGGAAGCCACGGCUAACCCUGUGCCAGCAGCCGCGGUAAUACAGAGGCGGCAAGCGUUGUUCGGAAUUAUUGGGCGUAAAGAGCACGUAGGCGGCCUUGCAAGUCAGUUGUGAAAGCCUUCCGCUUAACGGAAGAAUGCCAGCUGAUACUACAGGGCUUGAGUACGGGAGGGGAGAGUGGAACUUCUGGUGGAGCGGUGAAAUGCGUAGAUAUCAGAAGGAACGCCGGCGGCGAAAGCGACUCUCUGGCCCGAAACUGACGCUGAGUGUGCGAAAGCUAGGGGAGCAAGCGGGACUAGAUACCCCGGUAGUCCUAGCCGUAAA